rnacentral:rRNA from 1 species
AGUAACACGUGGGCAACCUGCCUAUGAGACUGGGAUAACUCCGGGAAACCGGGGCUAAUACCGGAUAAUUCUUUUCUACACAUGUAGAAAAGCUGAAAGAUGGUUUCGGCUAUCACUCAUAGAUGGGCCCGCGGCGCAUUAGCUAGUUGGUGAGGUAACGGCUCACCAAGGCGACGAUGCGUAGCCGACCUGAGAGGGUGAUCGGCCACACUGGGACUGAGACACGGCCCAG